rnacentral:rRNA from 1 species
GUGAAGCUUAGCAGGGGACAAGGGGGAUGCCUCGGCGUACAGGGCCGAUGAAGGACGGGGUGCGCACCGCAAUGUGUCCGGGGAGCUGCGACCAAGCGUUGAGCCGGACGUUUCCGAAUGGGGUAACCCACAUGGCAGCAUGGCCAUGUAUCCAGUGUUGAAUCCAUAGACACUGUGAAGGGCAGUCGGGGAACUGAAACAUCUCAGUACCCGGACGAGAAGGAAUCAAACGAGAGGCCGCUAGUAGUGGCGAGCGAACGCGGCUCACGCCCAAACCGGGUGGAGGUGACUCCACACCGGGGUUGUAGGACCAUCAACAGUCGGACUGAUAUGAGGGAUGCGAAGUGUUCGAACGACACACCAGAGAAGGUGCCAGUCCUGUAGCAACAGCUCUAUCUACCGCGAUGUGUUCCUGAGUACCACGGAACUCGAGAAAUUCUGUGGGAAGCUGGGGGGACCACCCUCCAAGGCGAAGUACCCUGUACGACCGAUAGCGCACGAGUACCGUGAGGGAACGGUGAAAAGCACCCCGGCAAGGGGAAUGAAAGAGACCCUGAAACCUUGUCCCUCCAAGCCGUCAGAGGGCGUUCAAUGCCUGAUGGCGUGCCUUUUGUAGAAUGAUCCGGCGAGUGUAUAGCCGUCGCCAGGUUAAGGGCCGCUAACGACCUGAAGCCGGAGCGAAAGCGAGUGUGAAGAGCGCGCUUGUGGCGGGUAUACGACCCGAAACCGAGUGAUCUUCCCAUGCGCAGAGUGAAGCGCGGGUAAAGCCGCGUCGAGGCUCGAACCCACCAAUGUUACAAAAUUGGGGGAUGACGUGUGGGCAGCGGAGAAAUUCCAAUCGAACUCGGAGAUAGCUGGUUCUCCCCGAAAUGCAUGGAGGUGCAGCCGUGACUGUUGAUCUCCGCGCGAGGUAGAGCACUGGAUGGGCUCGGGGCCAAUUGCUGGUUACCAACCCCACUCAAACUCCGAAUGCGCGUGUGAGUAGGUCACGAGUGAGGCGGCGGGGGCUAACCUUCGUCGCCAAGAGGGCAACAACCCAGAGCACCCGCUAAGGUCCCCAAAUAUAGGCUCAGUGGCAAAGGAUGUGGUCUGGCCCAGACAACCAGGAUGUUGGCUUAGAAGCAGCCACCAUUUCAAGAGUGCGUAACAGCUCACUGGUCGAGUCGGACUGCGCCGAGAACGUAACGGGGCUCAAGCCUAUUACCGAAGCGGUGCCUUGGCAGCAAUGUCAGGGGUAGGGGAGCGUUCGUGGGUAACAGAGAAGGUCGACCGUGAGGGCGGCUGGAGUGAAGCGAAGCGCGAAUGCCGGAAUGAGUAGCGUCAUGCGGGUGACAACCCCGCACACCGAAUAUCCAAGGGUUCCUGGGCUACGGCAAUCGCCCCAGGGAAAGUCGGGACCUAAGCCGAGGCUGAUUUCAGCGUAGGCGAUGGCCAGCAGGCCUGAGAUUCCUGCACCGGCGCUGUGGCACAAAGCGGGGACGCGGUAGGGUAACGGAUCCCCUCCACGGGAUAGGGAGGGGUAUGGCGCGUAGGGUCGGAGAUGAGGCAAAUCCCGUCUCCACAUGACUGAGACGCCAUGGGAGUCUUCGUGAGAAGACGGAAGUCCGUGAACGCCCAGGCCGCCCAGAAAAGCCGCUCGUGGUUAUCUGCAGCGACCGCCCGUACCGGAAACCGUCACUGGUGGAUACCGGUAAGUACCGGAAGGUGAACGAGCGAUCCUCGGUUAAGGAACUCGGCAAAUUAACCCCGUACCUUCGGAAGAAGGGGUUCCCCGCACUGGUGAAGUGGCACGCCCACGGAGCGAGGGGGGGACGCAGGGAGCAGGCUCAAGCGACUGUUUACCAAAAACACAGGUCUCUGCGAACGCGCAAGCGGACGUAUAGGGGCUGACUCCUGCCCAGUGCCGGAAUGUUAACGGGAGCGGUGCAAGCUGCGAACGGAAGCACCGGUGAACGGCGGCUGUAACUAUAACAGUCCUAAGGUAGCGAAAUUCCUUGUCGGGUAAGUUCCGACCCGCACGAAUGGAGUAACGACUUGAGCACUGUCUCGACCGAGGGCUCGGCGAAAUUGCAGUACCCGUGAAGAUGCGGGUUUCCCGUGGCAGGACAAAAAGACCCCAUGGAGCUUUACUCUAGCUUUGCCUGGACGCGAGGCAUCCGUUGCGUAGCAUACGUGGGAGCCGAUGAACGCAUUCUCGUGGGAGUGCGGGAGGCACAAGUGAAAUACCACUCUGCGGAUGGUUUGCGCCUAACGUUAUGCCGUAAGCCGGCUAACAGACAGGGCAUGGUGGGGAGUUUGACUGGGGCGGUCGCCUCCCAAAUGGUAACGGAGGCGCCCAAGGGUUCCCUCAGGCUGGGUGGACAUCAGCCGUAAGAGUGCAAUGGCAUAAGGGAGCUUGACUGCGAGACAAACACGUCGAGCAGGGACGAAAGUCGGGCAUAGUGACCCAAUAGCACCGCGUGGAAGGGCUAUUGAUUAGCGGAUAAAAGCUACCCUGGGGAUAACAGGCUUAUCGCGCCCAAGCGUUCACAGCGACGGCGCGGUUUGGCACCUCGAUGUCGGCUCGUCAUAUCCUGGGGCUGAAGUCGGUCCCAAGGGUUGGGCUGUUCGCCCAUGAAAAUGGCACGCGAGCUGGGUUCAGAACGUCGUGAGACAGUUCGGUCUCUAUCCGCCACGGGCGUAGGAACAUUGAGGGGCGUCGCUCCCAGUACGAGAGGACCAGAGCGGCAGGACCGCUGGUGUGCCGGUUGGGCUGCCCAGCCCACCGCCGGAUAGCUAUGUCCUGAAGGGAGAAGCGCUGAACGCAUCUAAGCGCGAAGCCGACCCCAAGACGAGUGUUCCCGAGCAAGACUCAUAAGGACGCUGGUAGAUGACCAGUUUGAUAGACCGUCCGUCGACGCCGGGUAACCGGUGUAGCGUAGCGGCACUAACGUCCGAACGGCUUCACAUC